rnacentral:rRNA from 1 species
ACUCAAAGGAAUAGACGGGGGCCCGCACAAGCGGUGGAGCAUGUGGUUUAAUUCGAUGCAACGCGAAGAACCUUACCUGGGCUCGAAGUGUGAUGUAAACUCGUGAAAGCGGGGUAUCCCUUCGGGGAGCGUCAUAUAGGUGCUGCAUGGCUGUCGUCAGCUCGUGUCGUGAGAUGUUAGGUUAAGUCCUGCAACGAGCGCAACCCUUGUCUUUAGUUGCCAUCAGGUAAUGCUGGGAACUCUAAAGAGACUGCCGACGUCAAGUCGGAGGAAGGUGGGGAUGACGUCAAGUCCUCAUGGCCCUUACGUCCAGGGCUACACACGUGCUACAAUGGCCGGUACAGAGCGUCGCAAGACCGCAAGGUGGAGCUAAUCGCAAAAAACCGGUCUCAGUUCAGAUUGCACUCUGCAACUCGAGUGCAUGAAGUUGGAAUCGCUAGUAAACGCGGAUCAGCAGGUCGCGUUGAAUACGUUCCCGGGCCUUGUACACACCGCCCGU